rnacentral:rRNA from 1 species
AUUGAACGCUGGCGGCAGGCCUAACACAUGCAAGUCGCACGAGUGGCGGACGGGUGAGUCAUGUCUGGUAAACUCCCUGAUGGAGGGGGAUAACUACUGGAAACGGUAGCUAAUACCGCAUACCAUCAGAUGUGCCCAGAGGGGAUUAGCUUGUUGGUUGGGUAACGGCUCACCAAGGCGACGAUCACUAUCUGGUCUGAGAGGAUGACCAUCCAAACUGGAACUGAGACACGGUCCAGACUCCUACGGGAGGCAGCAGGGGGGAAUAUUGAACAAGGGGGGCAGGCCUGAUGCAGCCAUGCAGCGUGUAUGAAGAAGGCAUUAGGGUUGUAAAGUACUUUCAGCGGGGAGGCGUUACCCGCAGAAGAAGCAACGGCUAACUCCGUGCCAGCAGCGCGGUAAUAC